CCCUGGCAUGGUGGCACGCGCCUGUAGUCCCAGCUAUACGGGAGGCUGAGGCUGGAGAAUCGCUUGAGCCCAGGAGUUCUGGGCUGUCUGCGCUAUGCCGAUCGGGUGUCCGCACUAAGUUCGGCAUCAAUAUGGUGACCUCCUGGGAGCAGGGGACCACCAGAUUGCCUAAGGAGAGGUGAACUGACCCAGGUCGGAAAUGGAGCAGGUCAAAACUCCUGUGCUGAUCAGUAGUGGGAUCGCGCCUGUGAACAGCCACUGCACUCCAGCCUGGGAAACACAGCGAGAUUCUGUCUCUA
ensembl:misc_RNA Metazoa_SRP Metazoan signal recognition particle RNA